rnacentral:lncRNA from 1 species
UUGAAACUUAGGGAGCUACCAUUUGAUUUUUAUGGGGGGGCUAGGAUGAAAUUUGAAAAAAAUAGGCAGGACAGGAGUUUUGAGUAAAAAAAAAAAGGCAGGAUGAGACACUUGCAAAAAAAAAAAAAAGUCAGGACGACAAUUUAAGUAAAAAAAAGUCAGGAUAAACUAAAAAACAAAGGCAGGACCGAACAGAGUGAAAAAUAAAAAGGCAGGACAGAGAUUACAGCUAAAAAAAAAUGCAGGACAAAAUUUUUCAUCCUAGCCCCCCCCUAAAAAUCAAAUGGUAGCUCCCUUAGCCAGACUUUGUUAUGUUCUACACACACUUGUUGGAAUGUGGUCUUAGCAAAUGACAUAAAAAUGUGAAAUUGUCCCUAAUAAACAGGUUUUAUUUAACUAUGUAUGCACAGUUAAUUCAUUAUCAUUUAUGCAUGUACCUUGAUCCAGCUGUACACAAUAAAUAAAUUAUUUUCCUUUCCUUUUUUUAAACAUAAAGUUUUUGUUUCUUGCUUAUUUCAAA